rnacentral:lncRNA from 1 species
AAGAGGCAGAGGCAGAGAGACAGAGAGGAACCACCCUAAGAAGAGAGACCAGGUGCUGUUCGUCUUGGCUCAGCUCAGUAUGGCACGGGAUGGCACGGCACAGCUCGGUGCUGGUGCCCAGAGAGAUAGUAUGAAACUGCUGAUGCCUGUAAGUGAGAGCUACCCACCUUGAAGGUGGGCAGUUGGGAGCCAGGAACUGGCUUGUGCCUGGAGAGAGAAAGAGUUAAGCUGUGAACCCUGAC